rnacentral:tRNA from 1 species
AAUAAAGUGCCUGAUAAAAGGAUUAUUCUGAUAGAGUAAAUUAUAUAAUUAAAUUAUCUUUAUUA